rnacentral:rRNA from 1 species
AGGAGUUUGGUAGUCCUGGCGUCAGGAGUGAACGCUGCGGCGUAGCCUAACACAUAGGCAAAGUCGAACGGGGGCGAGACGGAACCUAGUGAAGUCUGUCCGAGUGGCGGACGGGUGAGUAACGCGUGGAUAACCUGCCGCAUGCAGGGGGAUACCGGCUGGAAACAGCCGCUAAUACCGCAUAAGCGCACGGUGCCGCAUGGCAGAGUGCGAAAAGGAGAAAUCCGGCAAGCGAUGGAUCCGCGUCCGAUUAGCCAGUUGCGGGUAAGGGCCCACCAAAGCGACGAUCGGUAGCCGGCCUGAGAGGGCGGACGGCCACAUUGGGACUGAGACACGGCCCAGACUCCUACGGGAGGCAGCAGUGGGGGAUAUUGCACAAUGGGGGAAACCCUGACGCAGCGACGCCGCGUGGGUGAAGAAGUAUUUCGGUAUGUAAAGCCCUAUCAGCAGGGAAGAAAGAAGACGGUACCUGACUAAGAAGCCCCGGCUAACUACGUG